rnacentral:tRNA from 1 species
GCUGGGAUAGCUCAGUAGGUAGAGCACGUCCUUGGUAAGGACGAGGUCAGCAGUUCGAUCCUGCUUCCCAGCU